UGGGGCUCAGUGGGGAGGAGAGCUGGUCUUGUGGUAGCAAGCAUGAAUUGUCCUCUUUGCUAAGCAGGGUCUCUCUUAGUUUACAUUUGGAUGGGUAGCUACAUGUGAGGACUGUCUGCUGGACACACGCGUAACAACGAUCGGGCAAGGGGAGACAGUUGUCUAGGGGCCCCACUGCCUGGAGGGGCCCCCCAGAGGCACCUCACGUGACUCCCCAUUGCCCCCUGCCCAGCCCCAAGGCCCCUCAGCCACUUGCCCUGUUCGCCAUCUCUCCUAAUUGUUCUCCUGGCCUGCAAUGGAAGCAGCAGACAAGCUGCAAAGAGCUCCUUUUCUCCCGCCUCUCAGCUGAUCGGUGGGCUGGCGGGGCUUCCAUGGAGGCCUCCGUGUAGGCCGCAGUGAAGCCUGAACUCGAGUAGGGCCCAAGCAGCCAGGAAGGAGGAGGCAGCCAGAGUAGCCACCACUGUUCUCUGCAGCAGAAGACUCCUUGCUGCCCUGCCCAACCCAGCCCAGCAUUUGCCAGAAUGCAAAGAAACAUGUGUUGCCUUCUGCUUACCUCAGACAAAGAUAAGAGAUUUUGUCAGAAUUUUCCAUGCGCUGCAAAAAAUGCUUUCACACACUGUAGUAAAAUACUGAUAACACAGUAUGAUGCUUCACUGUUCGUGGAGGGCUCCCACAGAGGCAACUCACAUAAGGUAAAACCAUUGACUAGAAAGUGGACCAAAUGCACUUUCUGUUGGAAAUAUUUUUUAGAGAGAAUUCAGAGGAGCUACACAAAAGUCACGCCAAAAAAUGUUUAUCCUGUACUGUGUGGCUGGGAAACUACAUGGUAUUUCCUGUCUUGCUGUGGAAUAAACCCAAGAACUCCAUAGCAAGAUCUCUGUUUGUUAUACCAAUUUCAGGUUUCCUUUGGGGUAUCUAAUCGACUCAGAAAGAGGCAGUCCCCAUAAAGAAUAUUAUCCUGUGUUUAAUUUCCAACAAAACAUUUAACAGAACACAAAUAUCCUGCAAGCUGAGUAGGAACAAAGGAAGCUGCCACAUACUGAGUCAGACCAUAGGUCCAUCUAGUUCAGUAUUGUCUACACAGACUGGCAACGACUUCUCCCAGGUUGCAGGCAGGAGUCUCUCUCAGCCCUAUCUUGGAGAUGCCAGGGAGGGAACUUGGAACCUAGAUGCUCUUCCCAGAGCAGCUCCAUCCCCUAAGGAGAAUAUCUUACAGUGCUCACACAGACUCCCAUUCAAAUGCAAACCAGGACAGACACUGCUUAGCAAAGGGGGCAAUUCAUGCUUAUACCACAAGACCAGCUCUCCACCUUCAUGCUUUGAGUUGUACCCCCAUUUAAGCUGUUUGUGAAGAGACUUUGAUAACUCCCUUCUGAUGUUAUUUAAAUAGCAUGGAAGCCAUUGCAAUAUGCAUCCUUCCUGAACCUUCUUGUUGGAAGCUUCAGGUUAAAAGGGAGAAGCCAAUGAAUCAGGUCCUUCCCAAGCCAGUGACACACCUCUUGUAUGCUAAGGUAAUAUAAGAAGGGGCUCUAGACAGAGAAGGAGAAACACUCUACACAUGCUCAAGAAAUACUUGGCCUCAAACCAGACACUGAAAACAAGUUACAAACAUUAGCACUCUGUUCAGUUAAAUCUUGCAUAUACUAACAGAAUGUUUUGAGGUCUAAGAUACCAGCUUACAAUGUAGGUAUAAACGUUUUAAAAACAAAUUGCCCAAAAUGCAAACAUCAAGAACACCACAGAAGAACAAUCAAGUUCAACACAGAGAUUGCUAUCCAGACUAAUGAAACACUGGUGCAACUGAGAAGCACCAUUGUAACACCAGGCCUUCUGAAGAGUUCCAGACUAACACUGCAUCCAUUCUAGUGUGCAUGUGGGAGAAUUUCAUCAACCUCUCCUUUCCCCAGAAGCCCUCUGUGUCACCUGAAAAUAUGCCCCAAGGGCUGCAUGACCCUCAGGGACAUAUAUUCAGGUGGUACAGUGCACUUUCUGGGGAGGGGAAGGUCAUCAAACAUUGCCCCAACCAUUGAGUCAGCAGUGGAACAGAGUUAGUUCAACUUUUCAGAAGCACUGUUGCUUCUCCUGUUGCACGAAUGCUUCAUUAGUAAGAAUGUCAGCCACGUGCCCCUGGUUCAUUAAAUGGUUUACACAAUGGUAAAUUUAAUCCACAUCUAGAAAGAAGGAUUUGAACUCUGGAUUCAAAAUGAUAUUAAAUUUUUAAAAAAGGAAGAGUAUCAUUCAAUCAAGGUUGAUCACUUUUAAGUUUCAAUUUAUUUCAAACGUAGAGAUUUAGUCAUGACCUUUAACUUUUCACUGAAAUCACUGGCCUUAAAAUGCUUCACUUGUCUGGUUUGCACCUCAAAUACUUAUUUUCCCCCAAUUAUGCUAAAACGAAUGAUAAAGACAAUGAUUCAACAAAGGAUCAUGCUAAAGUAUUUGAAUCAGCAACCCAUAAGACACAGAUCUCACCUUGCUCAACAGGACUGUACCAUAUUAAUGAUACUACCGUGUAAAAGGACAUGUUUAUGCUUUCUAUCAAUGGAGCCUGCUCCAGCUCCUUAAUCCAAACAAAUGCUGUCAUGUGCUUUUGGGUAUCCAUAAUUUAAGCCAGCUGUGAAAGACUGUUUUUUUGCAAGGCAUCCUUUCCAGGACGCUCUGAUGAUUUUGUCACUGCUUGGGGUUUUGGCAUAUCAUCAACAUCCCUCUAAUUCCUCUUCAUGAAAUAUAGCUUGUAACCAGAAUCUUUUUAAGGAACAGGCGAAAGAUCUGAAAGUAUGCCAUGCCAGCCUUCACAAAUGCAAAGUUUCACCUUUAAUCAAAUUAUGUUAUAUUGUGCUAGCUACUUCUAUUGAAAAAGAUCAUGCAAACUGCUAUGAUGGAUCAGUCCAAGAAAUCAAUUUAGCCCAAAAGCCAACAGUGGACAGUGAGAAGCCUGAAGACGAAGAGAGGAAGGACAACAUGGUGAAAGCAGAGCAAGUGAGAAGUAGGGGUUCUACUCCAGUGGCACAGUAUUUGUUUACAUGCAGAAGGUCCCAGGUUCAAUUCCUAGAAUCUCCAGGUAAGGCUAGAAAAGACUGCUGCCUGAAACCCUGGAGAGUUGCUGCCAGUCAGUGUAGACAAUACUGCACAAGAUGGACCAGUGGUCCGACUCAGUAUAAGGCAUGUGCAGAAUCAUCCCCUGCUUGUCUACAACAGCAUUUCCGACCAAGUUACCACGACAUAUUAGUGAGCUGUAGGACACAGGCUGGUGUGCCAUGCUGACUCGCUCCGAGUCAGUUCCAAAAGUAGGGAGUUUAAACUCCCCGCUCUUGAAGCCGACUUUCCCCAUAAUGCACUGGAAAGGGUGUGCCUCUCUUGAUGCAUAAGGGAGCAAGUUUGUUCCAAAAACAAGGAGUUUUAAACUCCCCACUUUUGCACCUGACUCGCUCCCUUACAUACCAGGAGGGAGGUGAGGUUGAAGAAAGAAGGAAGUGAAAACAAACCAACAAUGGCAGUGGCGGUGUGUCUGUGUUAAGGAGGCAAUUGUGCUCCUGAUUGUGGUUGUUUUUUAAAAAAAAUCUAAGUAUACCUUAGGAUGAAAAAAGUUGGCAAACACCAGUCUACAUUAUCUAGUAAUCAAAGAUCUAUUCCCUCUUAGCAUUCUCCUUCCCCAGCAACAGCCAUUUGCUUGAUUUAUCUUAUAUGAUUUUUAACCUUUUUAAAUAUUACAAAACGUGUUGCAAUUAAUUCAAUACAUUAUAUGAGCAGUAUGCAAAAGAGUAUUCUUUUUUGUUGGCAUAGAUCAUUCCUGCCAGAGGAGUCCAAGUUGUAAUGUUUUGAAAGAGUGAAUGAUUUUCUCAGUCCACAACUUCUUUACCAUUCAUGGUACAAAGCUGUAGAAUUUCCCCUCCACUGAGUAAUCUUUUACCUGAACUCAAAUCCACUCAAGCUUGUCUUCAUAUGAAAGACUCCCCACUUUUUGCAGCUGACUCGCUCCCUUGUAUAUAAAUUCAAUAAACAAACAAACAAAUAAAUAAAUAAAUUCCUCCUCAAGCUUCAUUAUGUCCUUUAAAAAGUGGAGGUACCUACAGGUGAAGGCCACCUAAUGGCGCAGCGGGGAAGUAACUUGCCUAGGGAGCAAGAGGUUGCUGGUUCGAAUCCCCGCUGGUAUGUUUCCCAGAUUAUGGGAAACACCUAUAUUGGGCAGCAGCAAUAUAGGAAAAUGCUGAAAGGCAUCAUCUCAUAGUGUGAGGGAGGAGGCAAUGGUAAACGUAAACCCCUCCUUUCUUUCUACCAAAGAAAACCACAGGGCUCUGUGGGCGCCAGGAGUUGGCACCGACUCAACAGCACAAUUUUACUUUACCCACAGGUGCAUAGUAUUAACUUGGCAAAGAGGCACCUUCUAACGUGGUGAUUCUCUUUAUUUAGCAGGGGGAGAGUUACUGGCCCUUAUCCACCCACAGCACAGUACCUCCAGUGACUGUUACUGGUGUCUGUCUUAUGUUUCUUUUAGAUUGUGAGAUCUUUGGGGACAGGGAGCCAUCUUAUUUAUUUAUUAUUUCUAUGUGAAAACCACCCUGAGCCAUUUUUGGAAAGGGGGUAUAGAAAUCAAAUAAAUAAAAACAAUAAUAAUACUAUAAACUGGAAGAAUGGACUCAUAUAGUGGAAUUAUUAAUUACAUUUAUCCCACCCUUCAGAGCAGCAUACAUAGUUCUCCUCCCUAAUUUUAUUCCUACAACAACCCUGUGAGGUAGGUUAGGAUAAGAUAGAAUGUGGCUAUUCCAAGGUCAAUUGGCAACUUUCAUGGCUGAGGGGGGAUUUGAACCUAGGUUUCCCUGUUCCUAUUCCAACAUGUUAAUGUAGAACAGGGCUGCUUAAUGUUGGGCCUCCUGCAGAUAUUGGCCUACAAUUCCCAUAAUCCCUGUCUAUUGGCCACCGUGGCUGGGGAUUAUGGAAACUAGUCCAAAACCAGCUGGGGGCCCAAAGUUGAGCAGGCCUGAUACAGAAGAUACAUCUGGAGACAGUGAAGGGUAGGAAUCAAGAGAGCUCCUGGCAACAGUUGCUUGGUUUCUCCAAAGCGGGUAACCCUUUUAAAUACCCCUCCCCUUAGCCCAGAUUAGCGGAGCAAGUGCUCCGCUAACCUGGGUUUUCAGAUCAUGUAUUGCCAUGGUGUGGAUUUGCACUGCAUCGACACACAAGGAGACCCGCGUCAGGAGGCUGCAAGCAGCCGCCCGGGAGUCUCUCCAGCAUGUCCUGCAUACUCACGUGGGGCAUCCUGGAAUUUCUGGGGGCUGCAUGGGCCCCAAUCCCCGCCGGCUCCGUGACGGAGAUGGCAGUCAUGUGGGCAGCCAAUCUGGCUGCCCAGGGCUGCAACCUUGAUCUUCUGCAGCCCGCUCUCCCUGCAAACCCCCUUACGGCGGGUCUCACCGAUCGUGAGAAUCGCCUCACUGUCUGACAUCCUAAGGACCAGUGAAUGAGAAAAUCUGAAGAGUUCCAGAUUAAUGUUGCAUGGGUGCCAGUGUGUGUGUGUGCAGAAGGGAAUGUUUUAACUUUUGUAAACCGCCUUGGGGUUGUCUUUUAACGAAAGGUGGUAUAUAAAUGCAAAAAUAAAUAAAAUAAAUAAAUAAAUUUCAACAAUAUACUCAUUUACCUUUUUCAGCUGUCAAUGAUCACUUCCUGGAGAAGGGGAGGUCACUGAAAUUUUCCCUCCCCACUGAGUUCAACUUUGCAGAAGCACUGAUGCUUUGUUAGUAUGGAUAUCAGUCAUUACAUUUCCCUUUUUUACUACCACUGAAUAUUAAGCUUAUAUUUUCAAUGAGACCCUCAUGUAUAUUCAUUAUUUAAACAAUUUUAAUACAAUUAUUCACACAUUUUCAUAGUGGUUUACCUUCCCCCCAAAAAUCAAUUAAAAGAAAAUAAUCACAUGAAUAAACACAACAGUCCCAGUAGUAAAAAGUGUACCACAAAACGAGCAAUCAGCAGUGAAAGUCAAAAACUCUCUGAAAAAGAACAGAUGUUGACUGUCCUCCAAAGGGCAAUGAACCUCUCUUCAGAGAAAGUUCCAGAGCACUGGGGCUGUCACAGAGAAGGCCCUACUCACUGUAGAGGCUAUUUUUGCUUCCACGUAAGAUGGUACCUGGAGCAGAGCCUCCUCAUAAGAUCUUAAAGGUCAGGGGGAUAAUACAGGAAGAUAUGUUCCUUGAAAUAAAGAACUCUAAAAGUCAAAAGUAAACUGCAUUCUAGGCACAAAAGAGGGGAGGUUAAGUUGCCCCCUCUCCCUGCCAAUGUUACCACUACUGAACCAACAGGAUAAGUAUGAUUUAAAGGGAAGGGAUGAGAAAUUGCGGUAUGAGUGGGAGGGCUUACCAAAUUUGAAUUGUCUCAGAAAUAAGCCACGCUAUUCUUAUUUUGUGGGGAAAUACCUCAGCUUAUUUCUGAGACCAUCAAGCACAUGCUAUGGCUUUGGAGGACUCACUAAACAUGGAUCCCUGAUUAUUUUUAGGCAGAGUUCGAAAAACUUUAUUCCGGUUUCCUCAGCUUUUAAGGUUUUAAUACUGUUUUACUAUCAUAUUUUGUUUGUUUUAGUUAUGGUUUUCAUUGGGCUUUUAAUUUAUUGUUUUAUUGUGAUUUUAAAAAGUUAGCUACCUCAUUAGUUCUGAUUAAUAGGCAGGAUAUAAAUAUUUGAAAUAAAAUAAGUCAAUGGGGUGGGCAUGAGUGAUGCCUCAAUCAAAUCUCGUUUUGCCCCGUUUCAUCCACUUGGGACAUGCAAAUUAUCAUUAAAAUAAGGAUGGACAUUUUUCAAUUAUAGAAUAUAUUUCUUGCUAAUUCUGGGAGGUGAAAGAAUUAUUUAACCAAGUCAGCUGAAAGAACUUUUUUAAACCUUCAUGUGCUAUAAGGAAAGAUAUAUUACAAGUCAUGAUUUUAUAACACAUAAAACAACAUUGCUGAAUUUCCACUUCCCUGCCCCCAUAGUUUAUAGCGGCAAGUGCCUAAACCUUUCUAGCCAAAGAAAGCAUUUUCUUAAUGCUUCAGCUAAUAGCUGGAUAUGAAGUUUCAUUCUCAAGGGAAUCAGGAGACAUAUGCUAAACAGAGUUAAAAUGCAAAGGAGUGGACAUUUAUUUGUUGGUAGACAAAGCCUCCAUGUCUGGUUGAGCAGUUUAAGGACUGUUUGCCAUUGCUUUCACGCAACCCUGAAGUCCAUUACUAGUAUUUAAACUGUGGUUGUUUUCACUAUUAGUCAUCAUUUUAUGGGUUGGGCGGAGGUGAAGAUAUAGUUUGAGGCAUAUGCAAUGCUUUACUAGAAAACAGAGAAGAAGCUGCCCGCUUGCUAAAUAUAGAUUGACGCCCUAAUGGAAAAACAUGCUCAGAACAUGUAGGAGGAUGUAGGCUGCCCUCUGGGACGUGGGCAACUUCAAAACAGAAAACGAGAAGGAAGUAAUGGUGUCUUCACAUCUCUUCCAAGGCGUUUCUUUCCUGCUCAAAUUAACAGAAAUAAAAUAUUACUAGAUGGCCCUGCACAGAACAUCUGUGCACUAGGACUUUAUUGUUCUCCUUAAAGCCCCGCCAGAGCCCCUGCUUUAUUGCUCAAUGUCAGCCACCCCACUUGCAGUCACCCCCUCCCCUCCUCCACUCGCUGCCACCCCACUCACAGCCACUAUCUCCCCUCCAGUCCUCCACUUCCCCGCUCUCAGCCACCCCACUCACAGCCACCCCCUCCUCCACUCCCCCACACUCUCAGCUCACCUAACUGCUGCUCACUCCUUCAGCUCCAACCACUGGCCUCUGAUGCCUCGCUGAGUCUCCUCACAAGGAGGAUGGACACGCAGGAGUGGGAGAGAGUAUUGAGGCCCAUCUGUGCAGGCCGGAUGGGAAGCCCCAGCUUUGCCAUCCUCUUCAUGAGGAGACUCGGCGAGGCGUCAGAGGCUGGUGGUUGGAGCUGAGGGAGUGAGUGAUGCCACUGCUCUUUCUUCAGCCCUCCUGCUCCUCCUUGGCAGCAAUUGCCCCUCCACCCACUCCUCAGGCUCCUCCUCCAUGCCCCCCCCGAGUGUUGUCAGAACUCUCGCGAGAUGUGCCACAUACCAUGGGAUUUGUUACAUAUGUCCUAAGGCUUUUAAAUAUAAAGAAGAUGAUGCAACAAUCAGUUUGAAGGAGAAGAGGCAAGAGAGCUAGCAUUCCUCCCCAAAAUGGAAAAUCACUGUCAGUGAACUAAAGUGGAAAGCACUACAAAUUCUGCAUUAUUAGGAUAUGGUCCCAAGCCUUUUAACUAGGUAAUAUUAUUGCUCUGAACAACUGUCUGUUGAUCAUACAUGACCUUUUAGCGCACCAAUGAAAUUCCUGUAUAAUUUGCUGGGGCUGACUAAUGUGUUUCUCUCCAGCUCGUUUAGUAAUGUUCUAUUUAUACAAAGCAAUAGUUGGUGGCAAAGAAGACUGAGAUCUCUAUCAUAAGAAGAUUAGACUGAAAAAAAUUGAUGAGGAGGCAGCUAAAUGGGAGUCCAGAAGAGCCCACAUCUGCCACAGGGACCCUUUUUGGUAAAACACAACAUUACCAUGUUGCCACUGUAGCUGUGCACCAGAAGUAUGCUGAAGAACCUGGCAUCCUGGCAGCUGUGGAAACCAGGCCACUGGAACACUGUAUAUAUAAGCAGCAACGUAUUUUUGUUUAGGAAAAGAAAACAGCAAAGGGAAAAUGAAAACCGGGGUGGGGGGUGGGGGGAGAACCUCUAGCCAAUGCCGGCCACUAAAUACAGAUUUUCAGUUAACUUCAGUGUGUUUAAUUCUAAGAUCUGCAUUUCUGAUUCCAUCCACCCAGUUGAAAAGGGAAAGACCACACCAGAAUAAGCAAUGAGGGGUGGCCAGAUACAUAAUUUAAUGACAGUGUAUGGAAGCCACUACAGAAAACUUGGGGGUAGGCAUGGGGGAAAGAAACAUUCUAUAGUGCGGUUUAGUGGCUGAUUUCUAGAACCAAACCACAAUAUUUUCCAAGCAUGGGCAGCUUUUAUUGAAAUUAAAAUAGAAAACCCAAGGCCAUAUCCCACACAGAAAUUGACAGUUUAGCAAUGACAUGGAGCCUACCAUGUGCAGAUGAGUGAAUGAUGGUGCUUUGGAAAGGAUGGACAAAAAUAGCUGCAGCUCCCAACAGCCACAUGCUGCCAGGUGGGCCAAUCAACCAAAUAUGGCUGUGAAACGGCAACCCAUGGCUGCAUGAGGCAUUUCCAGAUUUCACAGACUCGAAUGUGAUGUAGUUCCAUUUCUACUCACAACCUCCUGCCAACAAAGCUGGGCCAAAAUACCUAGCUGUAGGAGGAGGAGGACGUGGCCCUCCUCACAGUGGUGAACAGAGAUUCUGGUUUCUUCGGGUUGGUUCUGAUGUAACAUUUUCCUCCCCAGAGGUUGACCCAUGGAAAAUGUUAGGUAAAAAUGAAAGAUCCUUUGUAGCAAACAUCGUGAAACAAGGGGUAAGGUCAUCAAGAGCAUUCAAAAACUGCAGUGGGUCCGGAAGGCAACACUUUGUUUUUAAUUGAUGCUUUAAAGUUUGGCGUUACAAUAGCCCAAUGCAGACAUUAUGCCACACAAGUGUACAGAUGUCUGUGCACUCUUACAUGUGUUUGUGUGAAGGUCUGUGCCUGUGUUCACUUUAAAAGGGAACCUGUCUACAGGCUCGUCAUAAUGCAUGGUACAGAUAGAAAGUGUACUUCUGUGCCUGUGUUCAACAUGUGAAUUACUGUACUUGGGUACACUGUACACUUGUACUAGUUUCGAACAUAACAUGUGAACACAUUAUGUCACACUGUAGAGACCAUGUAACACCAAUCCUUAAAGCACUGAACUUGUUAGUUUCCAGACUCAAUAAAAGCUGCUGGUUUUGACCUUCAAAGUCCUAAACACUCUGUAUUUGAGGGAGCACCUUCUCCCACACACUCUCAUACUUUAAAUUGUCCAGGGAGGCCCUGCUUACAGUGCCCAUGCUACAUGAAUUGUGGGAAGAGCUUACCUGGAUUAGGGCCUUUUCGGUGGUGGUGCAGUCAAUCCAAAAUUCUCAAGCUAGCAAGGUCUGACUGGCCAAUUCCUGUCUAUCCUUUAGAACAUUUGUAAAACCCAUUUUUAUUCAGAAGAACUUUCAGCUGCCAAAUUUGAGUUUUCCUUAUUAAUUGCUGAUCCACAUUUGGUGUUUCCCGGGGCUUCUUUUAAUUACUCUAUUCUUUAGUUUGUUUUAAUUUAUUCAUUUAUAAGAAAAAUUGUAUGGUUAUUUUAUGCUUGUAUUUUAAAUCUUUUUAGUCAGAUUCAUGUUUUUGUAUGUUAGAUUAAUAUUUUAAUUGUGUAUUUUUAUAGUCUUGUUUUAAUUUUUCUGUAUGAACCACCUUGAGAUUGUUUUAAUGAAAGGCAGUAUAUAAAUUUAACUAUAAAUAAAAAAUAAGCUGUUGCAAGAA